AUAGAAUUCAGCGACUAGUCCAAAACCGAUCGGAGAAUCAUAAUUAUAUUAAUUUUUUUUUAAUUGAAAUGAUUUUUAUUAAAUAGGCUACAUGGAGGUGAGAAGAGAAAGAAAUGAGAACUAAUAAGGAACAGUAACGCCCUAAUUCUAGUGACAACAGAAUUUGAAAAAAAAAAAAAGUAAAUUAAAUAAAUUAAUAAAUUGUUAAGUUUUGAAUUUUUGAAAAAUUAAAAAAAAAUAAAAGAAAGAAAGAAGUCUAGAGAUUUCUCCAAGCCUCUAGCUGUAAUAGAAAGGGGCAAAAUAGGAAAACAAAAGUCGAGAAUUGGGGGAGAAACAGGGGGAGCAUCCACGGGUUAGAGAAAGAGGGGGGGAGGGACAAAAAUAGUGGUGCCGAACCCAAUCCAGCCAAUUUUUUAACCAAACUCCAUUUUCUCAAGCCAUUUUUUUUAUCACCACAGAAUGUUCUCACCUUGAAGAAGUUAGUUGCUGUACACUUUCACCCAAGUACCCAAAAUUGAAGAAGUGGAGAGAAAGUGUCGCACUGUCCAUCUCUUAACAUGACGUUUUUGAUGCCAAUGGUGCCUGCAUGCAGUUUCCUUCCAUAAUUUAGCCACUAUAAAACUCUCCCAAGCCUCCAUUAUUAGCCAAUAAUUGGAAAGAAAGAAGAAUCAAAAGUUUUGGGGAAACUAAGUCUACAGCUAAUACACAAACUCGACAAAACAUCAGCAGAGGAGAAGGUGGUCACAGAGGUCACUGGAACCUUAUCUACACCAUGAAAUCUUCAUUAGGCCAUUUUGAACGUGUUGAGUAAAAAAUAAAAAAUAAAAAAAGACUAGCAGCUCUUUGGGUUUCAUGUGAACAGCCCCAAUUUCUUCAAUUUUUCCUGCCUUCUGGUUUAACAAUGCAAAUUUCAUUUGAUUGUCGGAAUGCAAAUUGGGCAAAGCUUCUCCAAUCUUCCAUGCAGUGUCAAGUGAAGGCCCUUUUAUUCCUAUUCCUAGACUUGCAUAUCUAUUCAGUCCAUGAGGAGUUGUUGGGGCCAAACUAUGACGAGAAAUAACUAAUGUGGCAGGGCAAUAUAUAUGGCAACAAAUCGGAUGAAACAUUGCCAUAAGAUAUUUUUUAGUGCCAAAUCAUAUAUGCUAUCAGAGGAAAAGUUCAUGAUUGCUACCACAAAGUAACCCUUCUUUCAUCCCAAAACAUCAUAAGUCAACCAUGACUCAUUCUGAUCCUUUAUCAAUUGGUGCUGAAGGCCCUCAAGGGGAGUAGGACAUUGGAGCAUCAAGUCAAGGACAUGGUAAAAGCGGUCAAUCGAAACAGAAGACAAAAAGGCGUGAUGGGUAUCUCUCUAAAGCGCCAUAACUUGACUGCCUAUGCGCCGUAUGUGUUCUAAAGCGCCAUAGAAGAGAGCGUGAGGAGAAUGCUGGACUUGCUAACGGUAAGAUUGGAGGCGCUGAUAACAAACAUGCUCAUGAGUUGAAGCAAGAGAAUUGGUUUGUGAGAUCAGCACAUUAGUGGAGAAAGAAGAGGAUAAGUCUCAUCCCAAUAACUGUUUCUGGGAUUUUUGCCUUUGAGCAAGAAGCAGCUGUCAUGGGUUUCUUUGAUUUUGUCUUGUAAAUAAAUUUUCCAAACGUAAUAAGGUUGGCACCACCUUGGUUCCCUUUGUAGUAUUCUUCUCUUUGCUUAUUUGUUACAAAAAGAAUAAUAUUAAAAUUUCAUGUUGUGAAGUGAAAAUAAUAAUAAUAAUAAUAAUACUUGUUUGUUCUCUCUCUCUCUCUCUCUCACACACACACACACACACUUUUGAAGGGAUGUUCACUUAUAGAAAGUCCAGGAGAUGAAGAUUCAUCAUCAAAUAUGGGCGAAUCAAUAGAUCCAGAUGCAGAUGCUGAGGUGGAAGAAAAGGGACGGGUGAAAAUAGGGGAUAGUGAGCAUCUGUAGAGCCCUGUUAAGGAGAAGCAUGAGGAGGCAGAGGAAGACGAUGAUGAAGAGGAAGAGGAGAAGAAUGAGAUAGAGAUUCAAAAGAAAGGGAAGGUUGAAAUGUCAGAGCAAUCAGAGUUUGCUGAUAGAUCAGGAGAGAAGCCUAGUCAACAAUCUCAGCCUGGACUAGCAGGUGCAGUGGACCAAAUGCAUAUCGAGAAGGGACAUGCAAUAGGACAAUAUGAGGAAGAAACUCAAAAAGUUCAGCAAAAUAAGAAUAAGGAAUCACAAGAAGGAGAGCAGAAGGCUAUAAUGUUUGAGAAGUUCCAUUCUGAAAAUCCUUUGCUUCUAAAUGUGUGCAGAACUCUCUUCCCUGCCAACCAUAAAUAUGUCUGGAGUGGACCUCGCGCACUGGUUCAGCGUGAAGGUUCCCGUCGUAGAAGUUGUAUUGAUGCUGCUAUUGAAAUUUUGAUGAAGUAGGUACGUUUUGAUUACUUCAGAUUGCCCCUACAAAGGAUCUGAAUCAAUCUUAUGCUCCGCCUGGAUCAAAUAUAAUGUUAUAGUGUGGCAUGUUUGACAUAAAUGCUUGCAUACAAAUGGAAUGUCUGGUAGUUGGUGGCUCUUCUCAGCUGAGAAUGGUAAUUUGCUUUGGUAUGGUCUUGAUUUACAAUCCCUAGUCAGCAUUUGUUGUGACCUUUUGGGUAUGUGGGAAGAUACACUGGUAUUUCUUGUUGUGAAUACACUUGGUAACUGUAAUGAUUUAAUAUUGAGCUAAGAUUUUUUAGUGUGUUAUUGCAGGAAACAAUCACUUGUAAAACUGUAAAUAGUUGAUCCUUUUUAUUUCCACACAUCUAUUUCUUUUCAUUUCUAAA